GCAAACUUGGUCAUUUAGAGGAAGUAAAAGUCGUAACAAGGUUUCCGUAGGUGAACCUGCGGAAGGAUCAUUAAAGAAUUAGCCCGCCCCUUUCGGGGGAGGGCUCUAUUCCCACAACCGUGUAUACUACCUUUGUUGCUUUGGCAGGCCGCCUCCUCGAGGCGCUGGCUCCGGCUGGCUGCGCCUGCCAGAGGACCCCAACUCAGUUAUCUGUGUUGUCCGAGUAAAUAUAUAAUAUUUAAAACUUUCAACAACGGAUCUCUUGGCUCUGGCAUCGAUGAAGAACGCAGC
rnacentral:misc_RNA from 1 species